rnacentral:rRNA from 1 species
ACAAUGAAGAGUUUGAUCCUGGCUCAGGAUGAACGCUAGCUACAGGCUUAACACAUGCAAGUCGAGGGGCAUCAGGAAGAAAGCUUGCUUUCUUUGCUGGCGACCGGCGCACGGGUGAGUAACACGUAUCCAACCUGCCCUUUACUCGGGGAUAGCCUUUCGAAAGAAAGAUUAAUACCCGAUGGCAUAAUGAUUCCGCAUGGUUUCAUUAUUAAAGGAUUCCGGUAAAGGAUGGGGAUGCGUUCCAUUAGGUUGUUGGUGAGGUAACGGC